GACGAACGCUGGCGGCGUGCCUAAUACAUGCAAGUUGAGCGAUGAAGAUUGGUGCUUGCACCAAUUUGAAGAGCAGCGAACGGGUGAGUAACGCGUGGGGAAUCUGCCUUUGAGCGGGGGACAACAUUUGGAAACGAAUGCUAAUACCGCAUAACAACUUUAAACAUAAGUUUUAAGUUUGAAAGAUGCAAUUGCAUCACUCAAAGAUGAUCCCGCGUUGUAUUAGCUAGUUGGUGAGGUAAAGGCUCACCAAGGCGAUGAUACAUAGCCGACCUGAGAGGGAGAACGGCCACAUUGGGACUGAGACACGGCCCAAACUCCUACGGGAGGGAGCAGUAGGGAAUCUUAGGCAAUGGACGAAAGGCUGAACGAGCAACGCCGCGUGAGUGAAGAAGGGCUUCGGAUCGGAAAACUCUGUUGGUAGAGAAGAAAGUUGGUGAGAGUGGAAAGCUCAUCAAGUGACGGUAACUACCCAGAAAGGGACGGCUAACUACGUG
rnacentral:rRNA from 1 species